ACGUUUUAAAAAUAAUACUAAGUUUCUCAUCUGGCUGAGUUUCAGAGAUGACACCUUUCUCUUGGCUCUCUGAGCGU